rnacentral:tRNA from 1 species
GGUUGUGGCUCAGCAGUAGAGUGCUUGCCUAGCACGUGUGAGGCCCUGGGUUCGAUCCUCAGCACCA